GAGAUAACGCUGGCGGCGUGCUUAACACAUGCAAGUCGAACGAAGCCCCGCGACGGAUUCCUUCGGGAUGAAGGCGAGGGUGACUGAGUGGCGGACGGGCGAGUAACGCGUGGGCAACCUGCCCCGCACCGGGGGAUAGCAGCCGGAAACGGCUGGUAAUACCGCAUAAGCGCACGGCGAGGCAUCUCGCUGUGACGAAAAACCUCGGUGGUGCGGGAUGGGCCCGCGUCCGAUUAGCUGGUUGGCGGGGCAGCGGCCCACCAAGGCGACGAUCGGUAGCCGGCCUGAGAGGGCGGCCGGCCGCAUUGGGACUGAGACACGGCCCAAACUCCUACGGGAGGCAGCAGUGGGGAAUAUUGCACAAUGGGGGGAACCCUGAUGCAGCGACGCCGCGUGGGCGAGGAAGUAUUUCGGUACGUAAAGCCCUAUCGGCAGGGAAGAACGAUGACGGUACCUGACUAAGAAGCACCGGCUAAAUACGUGCC
rnacentral:rRNA from 1 species